rnacentral:rRNA from 1 species
UACGUAGGGGGCAAGCGUUGUCCGGAAUCAUUGGGCGUAAAGAGCGUGUAGGCGGCCAGAUAAGUCCGCUGUGAAAUCUCGAGGCUCAACUUCGAGCUGUCGGUGGAAACUGUCUGGCUAGAGUCCGGAAGAGGAGAAUGGAAUUCCUGGUGUAGCGGUGAAAUGCGCAGAUAUCAGGAAGAACACCCGUGGCGAAGGCAGUUCUCUGGGACGGUACUGACGCUGAGACGCGAAAGCGUGGGGAGCGAACAGG